ACUCCAAGCUCUGUGAGUGCACGUCAUCAGAAGAAAGGAGAUGCAAACUUUUCAAGAGACUUCUAAACCAACAUCUCUUCAGUUUGGAUAACCCAGAAAACAGUAGGAGCAAAACAAAAAGAGCAAGAAGAUUCUGACUCUACUGGACCUGUAAGAUCACAGCAGUGGUUACAGUAUGACAAGGAACAUAGGAGACAACCAGAAACAAGUUUAAGGUCCUAGAACGAAGUGAGGUCUGUAACUAUGUGGGACAGAAGUGAAAACCAUUUCUACAGUUUUAAUCAUUUUGGUGCUUACCACCGAUAUAUAUGAGUGCUUCAUAAACAAUUCCUUUAUUGUCACGACACCUCUUUUGAGAGCAUUGCCUCUUUUUAUGAAGAGAGAACUGAGGAAC